UUCCUUUCCUUUUUAAUUCAUUACUAUAGAACUAUAGUUAAGUUCACUACUAAACCAGCAAUUGCUUAUUCAACUUAUGGAAAAAACUUUUCAAUAUUGAAAUUGUUAAGAAAAACUAACAUGAUCAAUUUUUAGCAUCCAUUUAUGAUUUACAAUCAACUUUGUUUUCUACAUGCUUAAAAAACCAUACAAUCCCCAAGCAUUGCAUUUGCUUUAUAUAAUUCAUAGAAAAUUUCAUACAGGUCAAGCAAAUUUCAUUUAUUCUAUUAGUUGACAUGAUUUAAUAUAUGAGUUUGAGAAAUUUUACGAUGCAAUCACUGCUAACUGCACCAAUUACCAUGAAAAUCUCAGUUACAAUUCCAUACUAGAGCCAUGGUUUACCAGGUAUAUUACAUCCAAUUAUAACAAACAUUGAGAGGCAACCAACAAGUAUAUUUAUCUUUUAUUCUAUACAUCUUUUAUAUGCAGCUUUCAUUUAUACAAUGGUCUACAAUAAUUAAUUAUUAUAUAUGUGCAUCCUGCUAGAAAUAAUGUUUCACCUUCACCUCAAGACAUGUUGUUGACUUAGAAAAUCUUGCUUCAAAUUCAUAGACUUUAUACGUAACAACCAAUUUAAACAUUUUAAGAAAUAUUAACACAUAAAAUCUCUUAAAUUCAUUAUUAAAACCAGUCUUUUAACUUAAUGUUCCAGUAGUACUAAUACCUCACUUCCAAUGUCAUCAAAAAUCUUCUUGAAAUAAUUUACAAAACCUUAUUACAUAUUGCAUUCAAAAUUCUAAACCUUAUCACAUAUUGCAUUAAAAACUCUAUUCCAUUUGGUUGUUGGCAUGGUGAACAAUUAUUUUUUUCAUUCCAACGUUAAUCUUUUUUUUAUAUAGGGUGGAGCUAUUCAAGCUGUAGCUAAAACAAGAGAUCUCCCAACAUUUGCAGCAAUAGUUAUUGAAGGAAAUCACUAUGAAAUCAAAGGAUUCUAUACUUAUGAAAACAGAGCAGUAAACACAGUUGCUGCCCAUGAUGCUGUGAUUGAUCUCAAAUCUAACACAAAGAUU
rnacentral:lncRNA from 1 species